GCAGUGUGCUGGGUCAUGCCGAAUGUGCUACAAUUGGGACUUCAGUUUCCAGAGUGAAGUUGGGAAGGAGGCGUCCACAGAGGAAUGUUCCUGAUGCGUGACAGUGCCUUCAAGAUGCACGUCUGUGCCCUUGACUGAAGGCACCUCCACACUGCAGACCCUGCCAAAGAACUUAAAAUACAUUGGUUGAAUUCUGCAAUGAGCUGAACUUCUUCUGCAUAUGCUGGAACAAACUUGCUAAAAUC